rnacentral:rRNA from 1 species
GACGAACGCGGCGGCGUGCCUAAUACAUGCAAGUAGAACGCACAGGAUGCACCGUAGUUUACUACACCGUAUUCUUGAGUUGCGAACGGGUGAGUAACGCGUAGGUAACCUGCCUGGUAGCGGGGGAUAACUAUUGGAAACGAUAGCUAAUACCGCAUAAGAACAUUUACUGCAUGGUAGAUGUUUAAAAGGUGCAAAUGCAUCACUACCAGAUGGACCUGCGUUGUAUUAGCUAGUAGGUGAGGUAACGGCUCACCUAGGCGACGAUACAUAGCCGACCUGAGAGGGUGAUCGGCCACACUGGGACUGAGACACGGCCCAGACUCCUACGGGAGGCAGCAGUAGGGAAUCUUCGGCAAUGGGGGGAACCCUGACCGAGCAACGCCGCGUGAGUGAAGAAGGUUUUCGGAU